AGGUGCAGAUAAACAAGUGUAAUUCUCCCGAAGAAUGUUUGGCCCAAACAAUAUCUAAGAAACAAAAAGUUGAUAAAAAUGCAGAAAGAUAUGGCCAAUUCAUUGAAGGUGACGACAUGCAGGUGUGACUGUAUACACGACUGUUACUGCUGCCUGGGUAUUAUGUGAGCAAGAAACACGUCUGGAUUAUAAUUUGGACACACAUGUACAGCUGUUUUGUGAAUAUGAUAAAUUAUGUAUGUUAUAUUUGCAUUUUUGAUUGGUUUUUAGAUGUUUAAUGUUCAAUACAUCAGACAAACUCUGAAGUUUUUUUUUUAAUAGAAUAUUAAUUUAUAAAACAAAAUCCCAUGAACUACAACCAUAUGUUUAUAGCUUUACACUUCAAGAACAACUAUUUUUGUGUAUUAUGAUUAUAUAUUUGUUAAUGAGAUACAAUUUUGAGUUGAAAUAUUAUGAAUUUUGUUAUGCCGGCGUAAUAUUUGAUUUUGGUCUGUAAAUAAGAAAUUAUUGGAAAUGCAAGAGAUCCGCUUAUG